UUUUUGAUAAUAAUUUAAAGUCUAAUCUGCCCACUGAUAUGUAUAUAUUAAAGGGCUGCAGUAUAUUGACUGUACAAAGGUAGCAUAAUCAUUAGUCUUUUAAUUGAAGACUUGUAUGAAAGAUUUGAUGAAAUAUAAACUGUCUCUGAUUUAUUUUUAGAAAUUAAUUUUUUAGUUAAAAAGCUAAAAUAAAAUUAAAAGACGAGAAGACCCUAUAGAGUUUUAUAUUUAGUUUAUUUAAUAUUAAAUAUAUAAUUAAAUUAUAUUAAAAAAAUAAAAUAUUGUGUUGGGGUGAUAGAAAAAUUUAAUAAACUUUUUUUUGUAAUUAUACAUAAAUAAGUGAUUAAUUGAUCCAUUUUUAGUGAUUAUAAGAAAAAAUUACCUUAGGGAUAACAGCGUAAUAUUUUUUUUUAGUACAUAUAAAAAAAAAAGUUUGCGACCUCGAUGUUGGAUUAAGAUAAAAUUUAAAUGCAAAAGUUUAAAAUUUUGAUCUGUUCGAUCAUUAAAAUCUUA
rnacentral:rRNA from 1 species